rnacentral:tRNA from 1 species
AAGAAGAAAGCAAUAUUGCAUUUAGUUUCGACCUAAAAGUUUGGUGUUAAAGCACCUCUUCCUA